UACGUAGGGGGCAAGCGUUAUUCGGAAUUAUUGGGCGUAAAGGGCGCGUAGGCGGCUUGGCAAGUGGAAGGUGAAAUCCCUCGGCUUAACCGAGGAACUGCCCUCCAAACUGCUUCGCUUGAGACCGGGAGAGGUGAGUGGAAUUCCCAGUGUAGCGGUGAAAUGCGUAGAUAUUGGGAGGAACACCAGUGGCGAAGGCGGCUCACUGGACCGGUACUGACGCUGAUGCGCGAAAGCGUGGGGAGCAAACGGG
rnacentral:rRNA from 1 species